GGAAGGAUCAUUACAGUAUGGUUAAGGGGGUUUGGAUGCUGGCCNCUCGCGAGAGGGGCACGUGCNNGCCCCCGUUUCUAAUCUCACAUACACCUGUGCACCUUAUGGGCGAGCGUCUCCCGUUCGGAGCCGUUCGACGCAUGACCCUUUUGGGGUUGUCGUCGGACCGGGGCGCUCCCUCUUUUACACAACAACACCCCUGUCUAAACGCAUGUCUUUGGAAGCUCUACGGAGCAGACGAUAGCAGUUAUAACUUUCAACAACGGAUCUCUUGGCUUUUGCAUCGAUGAAGGACGCCGCGAAAGUGCGAAACGUAAUGUGAAUUGCAGAAUUCAGUGAAUCAUCGAAUCUUUGAACGCAUCUUGCGCUCCUUGGUAUUCCGAGGAGCAUGCCUGUUUGAGUGUCGUGAACACCUCUCUCGACCUUUGUUACUCCUUUGCUGGAGCAGGGUUGGAUUUGGACGUCUGCGGCGGUUUUUCCCGUCGCUCGUCUAUAAAUGCAUUAGCUUGGCCCCCCUUUUUAAGAGUCGGUCCGANGACGGUGUGAUAAGAAAACGCUUUGUUGACUGUGGCGCCGUUUGGGUCGAUUUCGGAUUGGGUCGCUUAUAGCCGUCUUUGCGGACAAAACGCGUUU
rnacentral:rRNA from 1 species